AUUGAACGCUAGCGGCAUGCUUUACACAUGCAAGUCGAACGAGUGGCGGACGGGUGAGCAAGAAAUCGGAACGUGCCCAGUAGCGGGGGACAACAACCCGAAAGAGAGGCUAAUACCGCAUAGUUUGGGAGCGGUCGAUAUCGGAAUAGCUAGUUGGUGGGGUAAAGGCUCACAAAGGCAACGACCCGUAGCUGGUUUGAGAGGACGACCAGCCACACUGGGACUGAGACACGGCCCAGACUCCUACGGGAGGCAGCAGUGGGGAAUUUUGGACAAUGGGCGAAACCCUGAUCCAGCCAUCCCGCGUGUAUGAGAAGGCCUUCGGGUUGUAAAGUACUUUUGGCAGAGAAGCGGUAUCUGCAGAAUAAGCACCGGCUAACUACGUGCCAGCAGCCGCGGUAAUUC
rnacentral:rRNA from 1 species